rnacentral:rRNA from 1 species
AAAACUUUCAACAACGGAUCUCUUGGUUCUGGCAUCGAUGAANAACGCAGCGAAAUGCGAUAAGUAAUGUGAAUUGCAGAAUUCAGUGAAUCAUCGAAUCUUUGAACGCACAUUGCGCCCCUCGGUAUUCCGGGGGGCAUGCCUGUUCGAGCGUCAUU